AACUUGGCACAGUUGUAGCCAAUGAGGUUUACACGGGUGCUAUUAUUGCUAAUGGAAAACUUUUUCCGAUACCCCACCAUGCCCCAAACCUAUGACCAUGUAGGGAGUUCUUGAACGUUUCAACUGAAA
rnacentral:snRNA from 1 species